UACGUAGGGGGCAAGCGUUGUCCGGAAUCAUUGGGCGUAAAGAGCGUGUAGGCGGCCCGAUAAGUCAGAUGUGAAAGCCCCGGGCUCAACCUGGGAAUUGCAUUUGAGACUGCGUAGCUAGGGUGCGGAAGAGGGAAGCGGAAUUUCCGGUGUAGCGGUGAAAUGCGUAGAUAUCGGAAGGAACACCAGUGGCGAAAGCGGCUUCCUGGUCCAGCACCGACGUUCAGGCACGAAAGCGUGGGGAGCAAACAGG
rnacentral:rRNA from 1 species